GGGAAGUUUUUACUUUUCGAUCAAAUAGUCAAGACUCAAGAGCGUGUUGAUGGAGUGUAUGUCUUCGCCACUUUUUAUGAUGCAAUGUUUUAUCAGCACAUAAGCAUCUUAUUACUCAGAAAUUAGUAGAAGAGUAAGCUUAAAUGAACGCCAAGGGUCAGGCCAGAUAGGAUAAACAUUUGGAUAUGUUAAACCUCCAAGCUAUUUGAAUUCCCCUGAGAGAUUCUUAUAGGUGUUGCCACUAAAGGAGUGACUCAGGUUUUCCUCCAUGAACUCCUCGAAUUACAGUAGUCAAGAUUUUUAGUGUUGUAAACAAGGCUUCAAGGUUAAAUGCCGCUUAAGUUUUAAAAAAAAAUAAGAAAAGAAGCAUUCUUCUCGGAGUUGGGGAAAACAAAGAAAACAGACUCAAGGGUGUGGCAUAGUCUACACAUAUCUCUCAGGCUCUCCCCGAGAUAUGCUUUAAUCUUUGACAGUUCUUAGUUUUUUAAUCAUCCUUAACCUUCAAUGAACGUCUAAGCAAGUUAGUGUUAGUGAGAAAAGACAAUUCUCAUGAGAAGAUUCUUAUAGGUGUCGCCAUUGGAGGAUAUAUAGAUUUCCUCAUUGUUGAGCACUUCACUGAAUUCUACUACAAAGUUUGAAAUCAGAGGAGAAACUAUUGAGUAGAGGAACGAAGAAAAAGCUACAUGCAUGAUGAUGGUGACUAAAUGGACUCUGAAUAGUGUGAUUCUAGCAAAGUACAAGUUGUUCACAUGAAUUCCUUCAAAAACAAGAUAGUAAAAGCAGUUCCAGGAGUUCAAUUUCCAUUGAAUAUAAUCAAAGUUUGUGUGGAAAGAUUUUCAAGAAGUCAAAACAAUCUUUAUUGUUGGAUGAGUUUCAGAAAGCAUUGACGGGCAUAGAAUAAUUUGAUGUGGUUUCAAGUGUAUGGGAAAGUGUCAAGAUGGUCCAGACGUUAGAGGCGUGAACCAGACAGAUGCGGUGAUGACUUGUUCAAUUUUGAACACUUUAUAAGACCUUUGUCGGGGAGUUGGGUUCCAGGAUGUGAAAACUAUUUUCCCAAAUUUCUUUGUGGAAAGAUUUAACAUAGAAGAGCAUUGCUUUGGCAUUUGAAAUAAAUUUAUUACCAAUCACUUUACUGUAAGUCUGUAACGUAUAUAAAUGAUCAAU